rnacentral:rRNA from 1 species
AACGAACGCUGGCGGCAUGCCUAACACAUGCAAGUCGAACGAGACCUUCGGGUCUAUUGGCGCACGGGAGCGUAACGCGUGGGAACCUGCCCUUAGGUUCGGAAUAACUCCCCGAAAGGGGUGCUAAUACCGGAUAAUGUCUUCGGACCAAAGAUUUAUCGCCUUUGGAUGGGCCCGCGUUGGAUUAGCCAGUUGGUAGGGUAAAAGCCUACCAAGGCGACGAUUCAUAGCUGGUCUGAGAGGAUGAUCAGCCACACUGGGACUGAGACACGGCCCAGACUCCUACGGGAGGCAGCAGUGGGGAAUAUUGGACAAUGGGCGAAAGCCUGAUCCAGCAAUGCCGCGUGAGUGAUGAAGGCCUUAGGGUUGUAAAGCUCUUUUACCCGGGAUGAUAGUGACAGUACCGGGAGAAUAAGCUCCGGCUAACUCCGUG